GACUACAUCCUCAAUUCGUUCAUCUCAUCUCCAUCUCACGGUGUGUACCCUCAAUCCCCGGAAUAGAACGAUCCCUACUUACUUAUAUUACUAACGACAUUUCAGGGUUAAAUUAUGCGCUUGCUUUCAGCGCAUCAUAGGCUACGGGUUUGGCAAAGAUUUUUGGUGAAGAAGGCCAAGGAGAAGGAUUAGGACGUGAUUUUUGAAGAGGAAAGGGAAACACGAUCGUUAAGGAAGCUUAAGCGGAAAGCAUCAGAGUGUGGAGUACGCCAGCAUUUUCCAGGUUACAACGAGGUCGUUUCGGACGAUUUGGAUUAGAAGUAGGUCGUUGGCCGAGUCCGUGUGUUGUUGUUCCUGCUGCUUGAAGUUCUUCCCAUUUGGUACUCUAUCGAUUUACUAGCUUCUCUUUCCUUGUUGAACUCUGUGAGGUCCGCCUACCUGAGAGCGCACCUCACCCCUUGUUUUAUUGUUAUUGUUGAACUCCUUUCAUUACAGUUAUGAUGUAAGCCCUAAGGCAUCACAGUGCACUUGCCCACUUUAUUUUGUUGCUUUUCCAGACUUGUUGAUUUAAAUGUUGGGUUGUUGACUUAAAGUCCUUUCUUAAAAGUUUUCUUGGUCUCCUAUUUUCUAAAAAUUGUGUUUUCAAAAGGCCUUGUAGU